rnacentral:rRNA from 1 species
AUUGAACGCUGGCGGCAUGCCUUACACAUGCAAGUCGAACGGUAACAGGUCCUCGGAUGCUGACGAGUGGCGAACGGGUGAGUAAUACAUCGGAACGUGCCCGAUCGUGGGGGAUAACGAGGCGAAAGCUUUGCUAAUACCGCAUACGAUCUACGGAUGAAAGCGGGGGAUCUUCGGACCUCGCGCGGACGGAGCGGCCGAUGGCAGAUUAGGUAGUUGGUGGGAUAAAAGCUUACCAAGCCGACGAUCUGUAGCUGGUCUGAGAGGAUGAUCAGCCACACUGGGACUGAGACACGGCCCAGACUCCUACGGGAGGCAGCAGUGGGGAAUUUUGGACAAUGGGCGAAAGCCUGAUCCAGCCAUGCCGCGUGCAGGAUGAAGGCCUUCGGGUUGUAAACUGCUUUUGUACGGAACGAAAAGCCUCUUUCUAAUAAAGAGGGGUCAUGACGGUACCGUAAGAAUAAGCACCGGCUAACUACGUG